UACGUAGGGUGCAGGCGUUAAUCGGAAUUACUGGGCGUAAAGCGUGCGCAGGCGGUUUGCUAAGAGAGAUGUGAAAUCCCCGGGCUUAACCUGGGAACUGCGUUUCUAACUGGCAGGCUUGAGUGUGGCAGAGAGGGGUGGAAUUCCACGUGUAGCAGUGAAAUGCGUAGAGAUGUGGAGGAACACCGAUGGCGAAGGCAGCCCCCUGGGCUAACACUGACGCUCAUGCACGAAAGCGUGGGGAGCAAACAGG
rnacentral:rRNA from 1 species